rnacentral:tRNA from 1 species
UGGGGCGUCGCCAAGCGGUAAGGCACCGGCCUUUGACGCCGGUAUUCGCAGGUUCAAAUCCUGCCGCCCCAGCCA